rnacentral:rRNA from 1 species
AUUGAACGCUGGCGGAAUGCUUUACACAUGCAAGUCGAACGGCAGCAUAGGUGCUUGCACCUGAUGGCGAGUGGCGAACGGGUGAGUAAUACAUCGGAACGUGCCCAGUCGUGGGGGAUAACGUAGCGAAAGUUACGCUAAUACCGCAUACGAUCUAAGGAUGAAAGCGGGGGACCGUAAGGCCUCGCGCGAUUGGAGCGGCCGAUGUCAGAUUAGGUAGUUGGUGAGGUAAAGGCUCACCAAGCCGACGAUCUGUAGCUGGUCUGAGAGGACGACCAGCCACACUGGGACUGGGACACGGCCCAGAAUCCUACGGGAGGCAGCAGUGGGGAAUUUUGGACAAUGGACGCAAGUCUGAUCCAGCCAUUCCGCGUGCAGGACGAAGGCCUUCGGGUUGUAAACUGCUUUUGUACGGAACGAAAAAGCUCUUACUAAUACUAGGAGUCCAUGACGGUACCGUAAGAAUAAGCACCGGCUAACUACGUGCCAGCCGCCGCCGUAA